UACGUAGGGUGCAAGCGUUGUCCGGAAUUAUUGGGCGUAAAGAGCUCGUAGGCGGUUUGUUGCGUCGGCUGUGAAAUCCCGAGGCUCAACCUCGGGUCUGCAGUCGAUACGAGCAAACUAGAGUGUUGCAGGGGAGACUGGAAUUCCUGGUGUAGCGGUGAAAUGCGCAGAUAUCAGGAGGAACACCGGUGGCGAAGGCGGGUCUCUGGGCAACAACUGACGCUGAGGAGCGAAAGCGCGGGGAGCGAACAGG
rnacentral:rRNA from 1 species